GGAAUCUGGGAAGAAAACAACCUCAAUUCAUGGGCCAAUAGUAGGAUAAAGGAUUUGCUGGGGUCUUUAGAUCCUUUGGAAUUCUCUACUGGGAAGGCAUCUGUUUAUGAAGUAUACAGAUGCUCAGGAGAUAGUAAAUUCUUAUCAAGAAUUGAAGGUUACCUCUCUUUACUGAAAUACCACUCAUGGGAGUGCCUUUUCAAGUGAAUGGUUAAUUAUGGAAGAAAACAAGAAGGUUAAAGGUCACCUGGAUAUUCCUGAAUUAUCAUUUGGCGAGCUUGAAGACUUGGAGGUAAAUAUAAGGUUCAGCUAUGACAAGGAUUUCUCGUCUGACGAGAAAGCGCAAAUUUGCAAGGAUUUGAAGUCAUUCGUUUCACCUAUUUAGGAUAAACUGCGCGAGUUGAAAAAGAGCU